AUGUGUUUACCCAAAUGCAAAGGUGGUAUUGGUUUUCAUGAUUUGGAAGCUUUCAAUCUUGCCAUGCUUUCAAAACAAAGUUGGAGACUUAUUACUCAUCUGGAUAAGUUGUGUGCAAAGGUACUUAGAGCUAAGAACUAUACAGACGACAACUUAUUAAGUGCAGGGACAAAGAAGGAAUCAUCCUUCACAUGGCAGAGCAAUGUGGCUGGUUUACAAACUUUCAAGAGGGGUAAUAUUUGGAGAGUGGGUACAGGAUCUCAAAUAAAUAUCCAAAAUGAUCCAUAGAUAUCAAAGAGCCCUACAAGAAAGGUUCUAACCAGAAGGGCCCAAGCUCUUUUUGAGAAAGUGGAAGAUCUUAUUGACCCAGCCACCCAUUCAUGGGAUGAAGCUCUUACCAGAAGCAUCUUUCUGCCAGUAGAUGCAGAAAGAAUUAUGGAAAUCCCAUUGUUUGGACACUUGUCGGAGGACUUUGUAGCAUGGCAUGCCGUAAAGUCGUUUUUCUUUUCAGUGAGAUCUGCGUACUAUAUUGAAUGGGAGCAUUAAUUUGGAGCAAGAUUGGGCCGAGAGCAACCACAAACAUCUAGAGAUAAUUCGGUUUGGGAUGUCCUGUGGAAGCUACAUGUACUGAGUAAAGUCAAUUUUUUUGUUCGGCGAGCACUACAUGGAGUGGUUCUAGGGAAGUCCAUAUUGCAGAAUCAACAUAUUAAGGUUAGUCCCGAGUGCCCUUUGUGUCCAGAGGGGCCUAAAGAUAUCUGGCACUUAGUAUUCACUUGGGCACGAGCUCGCAAAGUCUGGGAGUCAUUGGGUGUGAAUGAAGUAGUGGAUACAACCCUAAAAAGUGAUCGAUCAGGAUCUGUGGUGAUGGAGGAGAUCUUGCGACUGCCGCAAAGAAAAUCACCGGUACCUAGACGAUUGGGCUUACAGGAAAUGGUUUGCGGUAGCUGCAUGGUAUAUUUGGUGGGAACGUCGGGAAGCCGUGAAGGGUGA
rnacentral:rRNA from 1 species